GGUUGGUGGAAUCCGAAAGCAGAAGUGACCUGUCUGAAUAUCUCUGCUGCUAGGCCCUGCUGAUGGCUCCCCACUGUGGCACUCAGUGAGCAGCACAGAAAUGAGCUGAAACUGAAAUGUAAGAAAAGUACAUUUCAGCUGAGGAUUUGACUUUUUGAAAAGGAUGAAUGCAUUGUGAGUAGCCAUUUGCAUUAAAUAAAUGCCC